rnacentral:rRNA from 1 species
GGAUGCGAUCAUACCAGCAUUAAUGCUGCAGAUCCCAUCAGAACUCUGCAGUUAAGCGUGCUUGGCGAGAGUAGGUCUAGGAUGGGUGACCUCUCGCAAAGUCCUCGUGUUGCAGCCU